rnacentral:rRNA from 1 species
UGGGCAACCUGCCCCUCUCUCUGGGAUAACCCCCGGGGAAACCGGAGCUAAUACCGGAUACUCUCGGCCGAUCACAUGGCUGGCCGAGGAAAGGUCCGCCGGUCAGGGAUGGGCCCGCGGCCUAUCAGCUUGUUGGCGAGGUAACGGCUCACCAAGGCGACGACGGGUANCUGGUCUGAGAGGAUGGCCAGCCACAUUGGGACUGAGACACCGGCCCAGACCUCCGUACGGGGAGCA